rnacentral:rRNA from 1 species
AGAGCGAACGCUGGCGGCAUGCUUAACACAUGCAAGUCGCACGAACGGUUUCGGCCGUUAGUGGCGGACGGGUGAGUAUCGCGUAGGAAUCUAUCCAUGGGUGGGGGACAACUCCGGGAAACUGGGGCUAAUACCGCAUAAUACCUAUGGGUCAAGGCGAGCAAUCGCGCUUAAAGAGGGGGUCGCGGCAGAUUAGUUAGUUGGUAGGGUAAUGGCCUACCAAGACGAUAAUCUGUAUCCGGCCUGAGAGGGCGCACGGACACACUGGAACUGAAACACGGUCCAGACUCCUACGGGAGGCAGCAGUGGGGAAUUUUGCGCAAUGGGGGAACCUGACGCAGCAACGCCGCGUGGAGGAUGAAAUAUCUUGGUAUAGUAAACUCCUUUCGAUGGGGACGAUAAUGACGUACCAUAGAAGAACGCCCCGGCUAACUUCGCGCCAGCAGCCGC